rnacentral:lncRNA from 1 species
GUUAUUGGUUGUUGUUUGGUGUGUUCCGAAAUAAUAUUGUAUGUGCAGUGUUUAUUUCGUGCAAAUAAUUUUCUUUCCGAUGCCUUUAAUCCUAUACGCUAAAAUGUUUUUGUGGUUUGAUGUAUUAGCUUUGUAACAUAACUACACAAACACGCUCACGCUUUACCAAAUAUGCAUAUAAUCAGUAUAACGUAUAUGUCACUAAUCAUAUCUUUUUUUAAGUUAGCAUAUAUUUUAUAUACAUUUUGCAUGAGUUAUAACGCAUACUAUGAUAGGAAGAUAAUGGAGCUUAGUGUGUCUUUUACUCUAACGAUAUUUGACUUUAAUCUCGUUGUAAAGGUUUUGCAUUUUGUAAAGGUGAGUGUAAUGAGUAUCUAAAAACAGAAAUAUCUACCAUCUUUGUAAAGCUAAAAUGUUACAUCAUUGCCAUGCAAUGAGAAACCUGUCGAACAAAGACAAUCAUGAUGGAAACGUUAACAACUUUAGAUCAUUAUUGGACCUUCAACAAAUACCAAAACAUAGCAGGCCCAAAACUAAUAGAUAUUACACAAUGUAAACCUUAUGAUGCAAAUGCCAAUCAAUAAACGAUAAACAAAUAUGAUAAACAGCCACAAACUGCAAUCCUUAUAGGUUCCUGACUAGCACAUACACAAUAUGACGGGAUUAAACAUGUUUGCUGGAUCCAAAAAUGUCUUUUUACCUGGAACAGGGGUUGAUAAAAAUAAACUAUAAACAUGAGUUGAAAAGUGUUUAACUCAUUAGACCGAUUUAAAGCACUAACUGAUCUGAAAAAAACAUAAAGGACACACAUUACAUAUAUGAGAGUAAUUGAGACUGAUGAUUCAAGCCAAUAACGACCAAUACAAAGUCGUGAAACUAAGACCCAACAUCCAACUUUCAACAAAUGUAAUGUAAAUUCGUAAUUUUAAGUAAAAAAAACAUGGCCUUAUGCUAGGCUAAAAUUUAUUUAUCGACAGAUCGUAGAACCAUGAAUGUACGUAAGUCUAUAACAAUAAUAUUUAUUUAGGUUUUUAUUUAUGGAUAAAAACAUAUGUCAAUACAAAUUAAAAAAAAUAUGUCGACGUCAACACGAAUAAAAAAAAAGUCUCAGAAAGAGAGACGAAAGAUACCAGAGGGACAGCUAAACUCAUAAAUCGAAAAUAAACUGACAACGCCAUGGCUAAAAAUGAAAAAGACAAACAGGCAAACAAUAGUACACAUGACACAACAUCGAAAUCUAAUGAAUAGGCAACACGAACCCCACCGAAAACUAGGGCUGAUUUCGGUGCUCCGGAAGGGUAAGCAGAUCGUGUUCCACAUGUGGCACCCAUCGUUUUGCUUAUGUGAUAACAAAUCCGGUAAAUAGUCUAAUUUGGUAGGUCACAUUCAUGAAUCGGAAGGGGAUUGUAGUUACGUCGUAAGGAACAUAUCCGAUAUCAUUUGUGAAACGGUUAUUCCUUAACGGUCAACCAACUCGUGAUGGCGUCAGUAAAAUUUACGAAGGGAUGAUUUCAACUUCACCUUCAUAACUCUUGGUUUAAUAGCUUCCUUGUGAGCAGCAACAAUCUAUCAAGAAAAUCAUGAUAGGAAAUGCAAUUACGGGAAUAUCGUAUCGAUUAGGAGAUAUAUACCCCAUAUGCAGGACUUUUUAUAGAGUGUGAAAUAAGUUUAUUUAAAGAAUUGGUAAAUUUGAUUAAAGAAACGUAUCUUAACGUACAGUCUCGGUAAACGACAUAAGCACUUUCAUUCAUAUAUGUCUGUAUCUUCAGAAAUCAAUAUCUUUAUUGUGUAUCAUAAGAGACUUAGUCAUAUUAUUAUGUGUUAGAUGGUAACGUUAAUUGAACAUAAACUCUUUCUUAUUUUAUAUCACAAAAACACUGUGCAAUCAUAACCAAAGCUUUAAGGUUUAUGACCCCUUCUGUAGCCAUUUUUGUACAACAUUUUCAAACUUCAAAUGUAUCAAAACUACAGAUAUAAUGAAUAAUAGAGAUAGGCUAUUUUGUACAUAUACCGAGGGAAAACUUGAUGCAAAGAAUUAUUAUUUACUGUUUCAUUACAUUUAAUAGAAAAAUAAUACUUUGUUGCAAAUAAACCAAGACUUUUAUAGAAAAUCCACAGCUUUUAUUACAAAGAUUUGUGUUAUAAAAGUUGGAACAUAGGUUACUUACUUGCUUUUCUAUGAUGUGCUAAUGUGUUUAUUUUUUACAAAAAGUUAUAACCAACCUUUAAAUACCAAAAUACCUCGUGCUCAGUCACUAAAGUCGAGCGCACCCUAAAAGGUGUACUUGAUUUGGUCCAUAUUUUUAUUUGUUUUAACCAAUAACUACAAUAAUAAACUUGUUUUAAGGAAAUCAACGCUAGCACUACAUGCAAUAACUUAUAUUCAUCAGUCAUCAAAUCGCCAAAUAUGAGAGUACAAGGAUUAAGUCUUUGGAUUUUCUAUAAAAUUUCCAUAUGUUUAGCAUUGAAUCAACACAAGGGUACACAAUCCUUAAAUGAGUUCAGAGAAUACAAGUUGGACGUUGAUUGAAGCAAACUGAUAUUGUCAAUAAUUUGUUAUUUGAUUAUUUGUGUUUUACCUAUGUCAGUAAUUUUAUAUAUGCAUAUUGGUUUCAAAAUAAUUUGGUUUGAAAUGGUAGUAUUGUGCAUAACCCGAUGGGAAAUGUUCAAGUACACUGAUAAACUGAUGAUAAUGAUACAUAGGACAUCGACAGUUAAUCAAACCUUUAAUGGUAAGAACUACUAAUGAAUAAAAUGUAUUAUUGUACAUGUUCAAGUAGAUGAAAGCUAUGAAAUAAAAUAUGUGAAAACACACAAUUUUAAACUUGACACCCCUCCCCCUUUCAUACCUGCCAUAUAUUAAAUGGUAUGUCUCUUACGGAUCAUGCUGGAACAUUACAUGUGUGUCUCUUUUGUGAGGGACGGGGUCGUCAACCUUAAAUUAACAUUGAAGAGAUGUCAAAACCUAAUUGGAUCAAAAAGAAACCUUAACCAAAACAGGGAAUUAAUAAGUCUAGGAAUUAUAGCUAUAUAUGUCCAUGUGGGACAGGCUUCUCGUUUUUUGAAAUCAUUUAGAAAUGUUAUGAAAUCAAGUUAAAGUAAAAAAAAAAGAAAUCAGUAUCAAAAUAUUAAGCGUUCAUUAAAGUCUGACCAUUAAAACAAAAAUUCAAAUAUCAACACAUACAGAUAAUGAAAAAACAUUAUAACCAGUAAUAGACAAAUUACAAAUACCAUUCGUUAUCCUUUCAGGUUAGGUUUUUGCAGGUAAUUUACGAGUGCAAUAUUCAAAACCUUCCUUAAGGAUGCUUCUAAAAUAAUAAGGUGGAAUAAAUGAUUUACAGUCCAUGGCAACACCCCCAAAGAAUUAUGAUGUGUGUGAAGCGACAACAUUUUGGAUAGACAGUUGUUAUAUGUAUGGCAUAUAUCAAACUAUUGAACAAAAACGGCCAAAAUUAGAAUGCCUCAAAUUCGUUAAAAGCAACAUUUCACCGCAAGUAAAUACGAACGUCUAAAAUGGUGACUAUGAAAACAAAUGACUGCCACAAAUGUUAAAAAAAGAAUGGAAUUUUCAGAAUUAUUAUAAUAAAGUUUUUGAGCGUGUCUUUUUUAUUGUCCUGGUUUUCAAUUGCAUAAAACCGACAAAUUCGACAACACUUAUUUCUAUUUUGAUUUAAUGUUUUCGUUAAUUAUCAAAUAUUUUCUUAAAAUAAUGCAGAAAUUUACCCACAUGAUCUGACUUUUAACAUAUCAAAUAUCACCGGUAUUUACUUGCCUUUCCUAGAUUUAGAUAGUUCAGUUUUACAAGGUUAACCCAACACUAUAACAUUUACGACAACAGAGACGAUUUGUCGUUCCUUUUAGUUUAUUUUACUCGAACUAUGAUCUUCCAUUGACACUAUCUUGUGGUGUAUUUAUAUUACAACUCUUUCGCCAUUUAAUUGUAUG